AGAGUUUGAUCCUGGCUCAGGACGAACGCUGGCGGCGUGCUUAACACAUGCAAGUCGAACGAUGAACCACUUCGGUGGGGAUUAGUGGCGAACGGGUGAGUAACACGUGGGCAAUCUGCCCUUCACUCUGGGACAAGCCCUGGAAACGGGGUCUAAUACCGGAUAGCACUUCCACUCGCAUGGGUGGGGGUUGAAAGCUCCGGCGGUGAAGGAUGAGCCCGCGGCCUAUCAGCUUGUUGGUGAGGUAAUGGCUCACCAAGGCGACGACGGGUAGCCGGCCUGAGAGGGCGACCGGCCACACUGGGACUGAGACACGGCCCAGACUCCUACGGGAGGCAGCAGUGGGGAAUAUUGCACAAUGGGCGAAAGCCUGAUGCAGCGACGCCGCGUGAGGGAUGACGGCCUUCGGGUUGUAAACCUCUUUCAGCAGGGAAGAAGCGAAAGUGACGGUACCUGCAGAAGAAGCGCCGGCUAACUACGUGCCAGCAGCCGCGGUA
rnacentral:rRNA from 1 species